GAAGGGAGCUUGCUCCCGGAUGUUAGCGGCGGACGGGUGAGUAACACGUGGGUAACCUGCCUGUAAGACUGGGAUAACUCCGGGAAACCGGAGCUAAUACCGGAUAGUUCCUUGAACCGCAUGGUUCAAGGAUGAAAGACGGUUUCGGCUGUCACUUACAGAUGGACCCGCGGCGCAUUAGCUAGUUGGUGGGGUAAUGGCUCACCAAGGCGACGAUGCGUAGCCGACCUGAGAGGGUGAUCGGCCACACUGGGACUGAGACACGGCCCAGACUCCUACGGGAGGCAGCAGUAGGGAAUCUUCCGCAAUGGACGAAAGUCUGACGGAGCAACGCCGCGUGAGUGAUGAAGGUUUUCGGAUCGUAAAGCUCUGUUGUUAGGGAAGAACAAGUGCGAGAGUAACUGCUCGCACCUUGACGGUACCUAACCAGAAAGCCACGGCUAACUACGUGCCAGCAGCCGCGGUAAUACGUAGGUGGCAAGCGUUGUCCGGAAUUAUUGGGCGUAAAGGGCUCGCAGGCGGUUUCUUAAGUCUGAUGUGAAAGCCCCCGGCUCAACCGGGGAGGGUCAUUGGAAACUGGGAAACUUGAGUGCAGAAGAGGAGAGUGGAAUUCCACGUGUAGCGGUGAAAUGCGUAGAGAUGUGGAGGAACACCAGUGGCGAAGGCGACUCUCUGGUCUGUAACUGACGCUGAGGAGCGAAAGCGUGGGGAGCGAACAGGAUUAGAUACCCUGGUAGUCCACGCCGUAAACGAUGAGUGCUAAGUGUUAGGGGGUUUCCGCCCCUUAGUGCUGCAGCUAACGCAUUAAGCACUCCGCCUGGGGAGUACGGUCGCAAGACUGAAACUCAAAGGAAUUGACGGGGGCCCGCACAAGCGGUGGA
rnacentral:rRNA from 1 species